AGUGAACGCUGGCGGUAGGCCUAACACAUGCAAGUCGAACGGCAGCACAGUAAGAGCUUGCUCUUACGGGUGGCGAGUGGCGGACGGGUGAGGAAUACAUCGGAAUCUACUUUUUCGUGGGGGAUAACGUAGGGAAACUUACGCUAAUACCGCAUACGACCUACGGGUGAAAGCAGGGGAUCUUCGGACCUUGCGCGAUUGAAUGAGCCGAUGUCGGAUUAGCUAGUUGGCGGGGUAAAGGCCCACCAAGGCGGCGAUCCGUAGCUGGUCUGAGAGGAUGAUCAGCCACAAUGGAACUGAGAAACGGGCCAAACCCCCACGGGAGGGGACGGUGGGGAAUAUUGGAAAAGGGGGGCAAGCCUGAUCCAGCCCUACCCGGGGGGGUAAGAAGGCCUUCGGGGUUGAAAGGCCGUUUUGUGGGAAAAAAAAGCCGGAGGGUUAAACCCCCCCGGUUUGACGGUACCCAAAAAAAAAGGAACGGCUAACUUCGUG
rnacentral:rRNA from 1 species